UCACGAUUUAACGGUUAUUUUAACUCCGAUUUUGAUGAUUUUUUACAACUACACUUGUUGACCCUAUACGAAUACAAUGAAUGAAUUCGACCGUCAAUUUAAAGUAUAUACACAAGUGGAUACCACAAAAUCUUAUGUUAUACUUAAUGAAAGUAUAAAUAAACUCUAAGUGUUAGUGAAUCUAUCGUUUUGAUGGGAUACGAAUUCUAUGAAACUAAUUUCAAUGAUCCAACCGUCAAUCCUGUUUUGUAUAUGCUUCGUGAUCGCAUACGCCAAAAAUUACAAAAAACAAACAUUCAGAGGUCAAGUAAUGAGACAAAACUUUUCGACGGUUAUAAAACAAAAAAUCACGAUUUAACGGUUAUUUUAACUCCGAUUUUGAUGAUUUUUUACAACUACACUUGUUGGCCCUAUACGAAUACAAUGAAUGAAUUCGAUCGUCAAUUUAAAAUAUUUACACAAGUGGAUACCACAAAAUCUUAUUAAGCGUUAGUGAAUCUAUAUAUUAAAUUAAAUUUUAAAAGUUGGUGGCCAUUAAAUUGGCUGAGAUUUAAUCUCAGCUGUCCAUUCUGCAUUAGGUAUUUAGAUUGGACUUGAGAGACUAUCCUUCAGCUUUUCUCUUCUCUGUCGCAGACCUGUGCUUCUCUCGACCCUCUCAUGUGAACUUUCAAUUUCAACUCUUCUCUUCUCUACCACAGAGUGCCGCUCCUGUGAACUUUCAGUUUGAGCUCUUCUCUUCU
rnacentral:lncRNA from 1 species